rnacentral:rRNA from 1 species
GACGAACGCUGGCGGCGUGCUUAACACAUGCAAGUCGAACGGGCCCGCUCUCUUUUUUGGGGGUGGGUUGGGUGGCGAACGGGUGAGUAUCACGUGAGUAACCUGCCCCCUGCUCCUGGAUAACUGCUUGAAAGGGCGGCUAAUACGGGGUGUGCCGGCUGGUCCGCAUGGGCCUGGUCGGGAUAGUUUCAUCUUCGGGUGUUUCGGUGGGGGAUGGGCUCGCGGCCUAUCAGCUUGUUGGUGGGGUGAUGGCCCACCAAGGCGGUGACGGGUAGCCGGCCUGAGAGGGUGGGCGGCCACACUGGGACUGAGACACGGCCCAGACUCCUGCGGGAGGCAGCAGUGGGGGGUAUUGCACAAUGGGCGGAAGCCUGAUGCAGCGACGUCGCGUGAGGGAUGGAGGCCUUCGGGUUGUGAACCUCUUUCUCCGGUGGUGAAGGCCCUGUCCGUUGCGGCGGGGUUGACGGUAGCCGGGUAUGAAGCGCCGGCUAACUACGUG